UGUUACAGUAGCCGGACACAAAAAAAUUCACGAACUAAACAAGGCCCUAUAUUCAUAUAAAUUCCAUACACCAUCAACUUAAUCCUUGGUUCAAAGAUCCCUCCUUUUUAUUCCACUCCUUUCUAGUGGCUAGACCUAAGCAAAUUUUGGCCCAGCCCAAGCAUGCUAAGUUUUGGCACGCCCAUAGACCUUAGUGGAUAAGGCCUAGGCACAGAUCACGCUGCCUUGGCCCAAGCUCGGUCUGAAAUAUUUAUUUUAGUUGUUAUACACUAUAAACUCUGCAAGCGGCCCACCAAGCCUAGGUUUGGUCUAACUCGCCUAGUGAGACGGUCAUAAGUGGGACUAUUUUGGCCCGAGAUAACUAGACUUUUGUUGGUCCGGCUUGCAAAAUGCUCGGGUCUAUUAGUGGUCGUGCAAUUUUAGUUGAAGCGAAACCUAAGUGACUACGGUUCUUUGGUGAGCUUAAUAAAACUGUUGGCUAAGCCUUUUUAAAUUUAAAUUUUAAAUAGUUACAUACUACCUUAUUCAAAAUCUACAUUUGUCUUCUUCUCUAAAAUAACUUAUUCAUCAUGGUAUUGCUAAGGUCUACUUGCGCUUGGCUCAAUCAGUCGUUAGUCGGCCGUCAUCUUAUCAAUAUCCAUUGACUUAAGCAUUCCAAAACAAAAUUGUGGAACUAUCACUGCCACCACUAAAUUGUUGACCUCUUGCCUCCUACUUAUGCUACUCUAUCGCAUUGUUGUGAACCCUGCCAUGACCAUAUUUGUUUCCCAUUGUGUAUAGUUUUUUUUGCAAAUAAAAAAUUAAUCCAAACUAUACCCUUUUUGGUUGCUUUCGAGUUUCUCACACAUGUCUACCAAGGAGUUGAUCGAUCAAUAGCGUAUAAUAUAUUUUUCUAGAAAAGAUAGCGUAUAAGAUAUUAAAAUAGAAUUUGUUUUUCAUGAUUUUAUAUAAUAUCUUCUAACUAAACACGUGUUUCCUUCAUUGGUCAUCUAGGAAGAUGUGAAAUUUGUUCCAUGAUCAUUCUAAUUGACACACUAUGUUUAGUUGUUCCCUCUUGAUGACACAUCGAUGGUGAUGCUAACAUGCACCUUACUCAUAGAUCCGUGCCUUUUGCCUAACAUAUCUUUAUAUUCAUCACAAUACUCCUAAUGUCUGAUAGAGCCACUAUCGCCUCAAGGAGCUGCUAGUCGGCCCAUCACCACCCCCAACAUCCAUUGAGGUUCUUACAUAUAUCCACGAAGGAAUUGAUUAUUGAAUAGCCUAGCUAUAAAAUAUCAAAAUAGGAAUUGUUUUUGAGAUUUUGUCUCGGCCAUCUGAGCAUGUUUCAGUGUCCUUGGUCAUUCAUGUGAAAGAUGUCAAAUUUGAUCCGUGAUCAUUGUGACCGAUACAUUCUAUCUAGUUUUCCCUUUCGACAA